UCCCUGGUGGUCCAGUGGCUAAGACCAGGCUUCUAAUGCAGGGGCCCCAGGUUCAAUUCCUGGUUAGGGAA
rnacentral:tRNA from 1 species